ACCAUCUCCCCAUUUAGGAUAGCAUUAGCAGUUUCAACGAGUCUGUACAGGAUUGAAACAAGAAUGUGUUUGGCUAUAUCAUCAAGAAAAAACACAUUCUUUUAGCGAGACUUAAUGGGAUCCAACGAGCUCUGGAAGGACACCAUUCUGGUAGGCUUCAAGAGUUGGAAAGAUCAUUGGCUAAAGAAUUAGAUGAGGUGUUACUGCAAGAAGAAAUGCUCUAAAAGCAGAAAUCUCGUUGUA
rnacentral:lncRNA from 1 species